rnacentral:rRNA from 1 species
UACGUAGGGUGCGAGCGUUAAUCGGAAUUACUGGGCGUAAAGCGUGCGCAGGCGGUUUUGUAAGCCAGAUGUGAAAUCCCCGGGCUUAACCUGGGAACUGCGUUUGUAACUGGCAAGCUAGAGUGUGGCAGAGGGGGGUGGAAUUCCAAGUGUAGCAGUGAAAUGCGUAGAUAUUUGGAGGAACACCAAUGGCGAAGGCAGCCCCCUGGGUUAACACUGACGCUCAUGCACGAAAGCGUGGGGAGCAAACAGG